rnacentral:rRNA from 1 species
AACGAACGCUGGCGGCAUGCUUAACACAUGCAAGUCGAGCGGGCACUUUCGGGUUGCAGCGUCGGACGGGUGCGUAACGCGUGGUAACGUGCCCUCUGGUUCGGAUUCACUCCGGGAAACUUGAGCUAAUACCGGAUACGCCCUGUUGGGGAAAGGCUUGCUGCCGGAGGGUCGGCCCGCGUUUGCUGUGCAGGUUGGUGUGGUAACCGCUCACCAAGGCGACGAUCUGUAGCUGGACUGAGAGGAGGAUCAGCCACACUGGGACUCAGACCAGCCUCCGACUCGUAGGAGAGGUGGCAGUGGGGAAUAUUGGACAAUGGGCGCAAGGCUGAUCCAGCCAGGCCGCGUGAGUGAUGAAGGCCUUAGGGUUGUAAAGCUCUUGUAUCCGGGACGAUAAUGACGGUACCGGAGGAAUAAGCCCCGGCUAACUUCGUG